UUAUUUUUUUAUUUUACAGAAUUAAAUAAGGAACAGAGUAGAAAGAAGAGAACUAUUCAAGAAAACCGGUUCAAGCCAAAUCACAUGAAGAUACCUCGACAAUGUUCUCCGCUAAAGCAGUUCCUGGAAAGGACUACUUUAUAUAAUCAAAAUAGUCAUCCAAAAUACGUGUCGCCAGUCUUCUGACGUCCCUGUAAACAAACAAAACCCUCGAUCGGACAAAAGACCACAAGCUAUAGUCUUCUAUAAAACACAAGCCGAAAAUGUAUCAGUAAUUUAAUUUCAAAAUUUAGAGCGUUUGUGAAUAGUAUAUUAACCA